AUGCUCCAGCUCCAUGAACCAUUCGUCCCUGCCCAGCCGCCGCACCCCUCCGCCGCCGCCGCCCGCCCCUUCGCCGGCUUCGACUUCUCUUGCACAUCUUUCCUCCCCUCCACCGCCGGCCGUUCCUGGAGUCCAAUUAACUUCCUUCACGGACGAGCCCUCCUUGCGAGCGCUCCGGUCAAUGAAGAAAGUGGCAAGCGCAUUCUCGUUGGCUCUGAGGUGUGUGACUCACAUUACUGCCAUUUUUUUACAAGGGAACUCGCCGUGUGUGAUCCCGUGCACCGCCGCUACAUCCUGCUGCCCGCCUUUCCUGGCGACAUGAAAGCUCUGGUCCGUAGGCCGGACCUGCUCAAACUGGAGACCUUCCUUGCACCUGGCGAUGAUGCGGAGGACCCUGUAUCAUUUAGGGUGAUUUGUCUGGCUCAGUGCAGAAUGAAUCUGCUGCUUCUCGUCUUCUCCUCUUUGGAUGGACAAUGGCAUGUUCUUACUUAUGAUCGAUGGGGUGCUCAAGCUACAUGUCCUCCAUUGCUCAACUCUGAGAGUGGGUUUUGCAAUCGUCAAUUCGUCCACGGAUGCUUCUACUGGCAUUUGCAUUUUCGGAAUGAGUUGCUUGUGCUUGACGUGCGCACAAUGGAGUUCUCUACUGUCAACCUUCCACCUGAACGACGAGAUCUUAAUAGUUUUGUCAUUGUCGAGGCAGCUGAAUGGAUGCUCGGGAUGCUAACUAAAGGCUAUGAUGAGGAAAGUGAAAAUGACCGUUAUUGGCUCACAUAUUCCAUUCUGAGAAAUAACCAAUGGCACUCAGAGAAGGGCAUCCCAUUGCCGGUAAAGCGUGCGAUUCUGGUUGGUGUUGCUGGGGGAUUCUUGCUCAUGGAAGCAUUGUACACCACAUCUUCACAAGAGAAUCUGAAGUUUGGAUACUUUUCGGUCGCUGUGAAGACAUUGCAGGUCGAGUUGUUCGCUGCACUGAGCAAACCCAUCUUACCUGGCCAACUAUAUGCUGGUUUCCCACCAUCAUUGUGUGCACCAACUAUAUGA
rnacentral:rRNA from 1 species